GAUGAACGCUGGCGGCGUGCCUAACACAUGCAAGUCGAGCGAACAGACGAGGAGCUUGCUCCUCUGACGUUAGCGGCGCACGUGUGAGUAACACGUGGAUAACCUACCUAUAAGUCUGAGAUAACCUCGGGACACCGGAGCUAAUACCGGAGAAUAUAUUGAACCGCAUGGUUCAUUAGUGAGAGACGGUUUUGCUGGCUGUAAUCGCUGGUUACGCGCCGCAGUAGCUGGUUGGUACGGUAACGGCUUACCAAGGCUACGAUGCGUAGGCGACGGGCCAGGGGGGUCGGCGACCUUGGAACGGGAACACGGACCAGACUCCUACGGGAGGCAGCAGUAGGGAAUCGUCCGCAAUAGGCGAAAGCCUUACAGAGCAACGCCGCGUGAGUGAUGAAGGUCUUCGGAUCGUAAAACUCUGUUAUUGGUGAAGAACAAAUGUGUAAGUAACUAUGCACGUCUUGACGGUACCUGAUCAGAAAGCCACGGCUAACUACGUG
rnacentral:rRNA from 1 species